GACGAACGCUGGCGGCGUGCUUAACACAUGCAAGUCGAACGGAAAGGCCCUGCUUUUGUGGGGUGCUCGAGUGGCGAAUGGGUGAGUAACACGUGAGUAACCUGCCCUUGACUUUGGGAUAACUUCAGGAAACUGGGGCUAAUACCGGAUAGGAGCUCCUGCUGCAUGGUGGGGGUUGGAAAGUUUCGGCGGUUGGGGAUGGACUCGCGGCUUAUCAGCUUGUUGGUGGGGUAGUGGCUUACCAAGGCUUUGACGGGUAGCCGGCCUGAGAGGGUGACCGGCCACAUUGGGACUGAGAUACGGCCCAGACUCCUACGGGAGGCAGCAGUGGGGAAUAUUGCACAAUGGGCGGAAGCCUGAUGCAGCAACGCCGCGUGCGGGAUGACGGCCUUCGGGCUGUAAACCGCUUUCGCCUGUGACGAAGCGUGAGUGACGGUAAUGGGUAAAGAAGCACCGGCUAACUACGUG
rnacentral:rRNA from 1 species